UGGGGCAUAGCUCAGGGGUUAGAGCGCGCGCUUGAUAAGCGUGAGGCCGUUGGUUCGAGACCAACUGUCCCUACCA
rnacentral:tRNA from 1 species